AUCCAGCUGACAAGUCCCAAAUAGGGCGAAACGCCUGUCAUGGAU
rfam:Schistosoma curassoni strain Dakar, Senegal genome assembly, scaffold: SCTD_scaffold0007327